GAAAACCAAGAAGUCCCCUCCUUAGAUCGAUGAGAACAAAAACUNAGAGGGUUUCCGUCCUUUAGUGUCGAAGUUAACGCAUUAAACCCUCGCGCCAGGGGAGUACGGCCGCAAGGCUGAAACUCAAAUGAAUUGGCGGGGGCCCGCACAAGCGGUGGAGCAUGUGGUUUAAUUUGAAGCAACGCGAAGAACCUUACCAGGUCUUGACAUCCUCUGAAAACCCUAGAGAUAGGGCUUCUCCUUCGGGAGCAGAGUGACAGGUGGUGCAUGGUUGUCGUCAGCUCGUGUCGUGAGAUGUUGGGUUAAGUCCCGCAACGAGCGCAACCCUUGAUUUUAGUUGCCAUCAUUAAGUUGGGCACUUUAAGGUGACUGCCGGUGACAAACCGGAGGAAGGUGGGGAUGACGUCAAAUCAUCAUGCCCCUUAUGACCUGGGCUACACACGUGCUACAAUGGACGGUACAAAGAGCUGCAAGACCGCGAGGUGGAGCUAAUCUCAUAAAACCGUUCUCAGUUCGGAUUGUAGGCUGCAACUCGCCUACAUGAAGCUGGAAUCGCUAGUAAUCGCGGAUCAGCAUGCCGCGGUGAAUACGUUCCCGGGCCUUGUACACACCGCCCGUCACACCACGAGAGUUUGUAACACCCGAAGUCGGUGGGGUAACCUUUUUGGAGCCAGCCGCCUAAGGUGGGACAGAUGAUUGGGGUGAAGUCGUAACAAGGUAGCCGU
rnacentral:rRNA from 1 species